rnacentral:rRNA from 1 species
UGGGAUUAGAUACCCCACUAUGCCUAGCCCUAAACAUAAAUAGAAUGUCACAUCACUAUUCGCCCGGGUACUACGAGCAUUAGCUUGAAACCCAAAGGACUUGGCGGUGCUUCAGACCCCCCUAGAGGAGCCUGUUCCAGAACCGACACUCCCCGUUUAACCUCACCCUUCCUAGUUUUAACCGCCUAUAUACCGCCGUCGCAAGCUUACCCUGUGAAGGUCUUAUAGUGAGCAGAAUCGGCACAGCCCAGAACGUCAGGUCGAGGUGUAGCUUAUGGAGGGGGCAGCAAUGGGCUACAUUCCCUGUAACCAGGGAAUUACGGAUAACGCGUUGAAAUACGUGUUUGAAGGAGGAUUUAGCAGUAAGCAGCAAGCAGAGAGUCCUGCUGAAGCCGGCUAUGAAGCGUGUACACACCGCCCGU